rnacentral:misc_RNA from 1 species
UCACAGUUUGCACUGGCAGUCUUGUUAGAGUUCCCGACAUGACUCGCUGGCAACUAACAACAGGGGUUGCGCUCGUUAUAGGACUUAACCUGACACCUCACGACACGAGCUGACGACAGCCAUGCAGCAUCUGUGCACGGACUCCGAAGAGCGACCCUGAUCUCUCAAGAUCUUCCCGUGCAUGUCAAGCCCAGGUAAGGUUCUUCGCGUUGCGUCGAAUUAAACCACAUGCUCCACCGCUUGUGCGGGCCCCCGUCAAUUCCUUUGAGUUUUAACCUUGCGGCC